AUACCCACAGAGAGACGAAAUCCAGAAGGUUCGUCAGGUAACCCAGGAAAAGCCUCGUUCUGAGGAAGAUGCUCCUAAGAGAACAAGUGAAAUAGAGACAAAGAUGUUCUUCAGGUUCUGAGAUUCAAUCCAUUAUCAUCCUGGCAGAGAGCAGGCAGCCUCUAGGCAAGAACGGCACUGGAGGAGCUCAGAGUUCUACAUCUUGUUCUGAAGGCAAACAGGAGAAGACCGUCUCCCAGGCAGCUAGGAGAAAGGACCCUGCCCUGACCUGACCGCCUUCAAUGAUGAUCAGCGAUAUGGAAGUGUAAGCUGAAUAAAAGCUUCCCUCACUGUCUUCCCUCACUGUCAUGAUGUUUCAUCGCAGCGAUAGUUACCCUGACUAAAGCAGUGCCCAAGAAACUCCGACAUACCCUCCUCCAGGAAGCUUCCUAAGCCACCAUUGAAGACUCACCUUCUGUCAACUCAUCUUUCCUAAAUGGACUUGAGAUGCAAAUGAAAGCACAAAGUUAGUGUGUAAAGAAGGAUGGGGUGACUGGAAGACGCUAACUUACGGAGAGCUGAGUUUUCAGCUGGAAGCCGAAGUGGAAAUGCCUAACGAGAACUGUACCGAGCUGACUCGCACAUGCGCACUUGCUCUGUAAUAAAGGGUUG
ensembl:lncRNA